GACGAACGCUGGCGGCGUGCCUAAUACAUGCAAGUCGAACGCAGUGGGGACGGGUGAGUAACACGUGGGUAACCUCCCAUCAGAGGGGAUAACACUUUGAAACAGGUGCUAAACCGAUACUGAUGGAUGGCCCCGCGUUCCAUUAGCUAGUUGGUGAGGUAACGGCUCACCAAGGCCACGAUGCAUACCCGACAGGGGAGGGUGAUGGGCCAAGCGGGGACGAGGGCACGGCCCAGACUCCGAAGGGAGGCAGAAGUAGGGAAUCAUAGGCAAUGGACGAAAGUCGGACCGAGAAACGCCAAUUGAGUGAAGAAGGUUUUCGGAUCGUAAAACUCUGUGGUUAGAGAAACGGUAUCUAACCAGAAAGCCACGGCUAACUACGUGACAGCAGCCGCGGUAAUAA
rnacentral:rRNA from 1 species